GUAAACGAAAAAACCGCCCAGCAAGGCGGCUUUUCGAAGGUUCUCAGAGCAGCAACUCUUUGAACCAAGGUAACUGGCUUGGAGGAGCACAGCCACCAAAUCUGUCCUUUCAGUUUAGCCUUAACCGGCGCAUAACUUCAAGACUAACUCCUCUAAACGGUUACCAAUGGCUGCUGCCAGUGGCGUUUUUACGUGUCUUUCCGGGUUGGACUCAAGACGAUAGUUACCGGAUAAGGCGCAGCGGUCGGGCUGAACGGGGGGUUCGUGCACACAGCCCAGCUUGGAGCGAACGACCUACACCGGGCCGAGAUACCAACAGCGUGAGCUAUGAGAAAGCGCCACGCUUCCCGAAGGGAGAAAGGCGGACAGGUAUCCGGUAAGCGGCAGGGUCGGAACAGGAGAGCGCACGAGGGAGCUUCCAGGGGGAAACGCCUGGUAUCUUUAUAGUCCUGUCGGGUUUCGCCACCUCUGACUUGAGCAUCUGUUUUUGUGAUGCUCGUCAGGGGGGCGGAGCCUAUGGAAAA
rnacentral:sRNA from 1 species